rnacentral:lncRNA from 1 species
GCUUCUACUAUCAUAGAGAAUAAUCACAUGAACACUGAAACAAUUACUGUGGAUUCCUCCUCAGAUUUUGCAAAUGCAACAACAGAACCAAUUCGUGAUACUUUCUAUACUGACCCUGAACCUUGUAAUGAUAACCUAAAGGACGGCACGGAUAUGGGUGCAGAUUCUGAACCGCUGGGAGAUAAUUUAAAUGUCAGCGAGCCCAGUUAUUCCGAAUCCCAAGAUAAUGUGAGCAAGGCAGAAGAGCUCAUUGUUCACUUGGAAAUGGAUGCUUCGACAAAGAGUAGCGAAAUAACCU